UGGGGAAUUUUGGACAAUGGGCGCAAGCCUGAUCCAGCAAUGCCGCGUGCAGGAUGAAGGCCUUCGGGUUGUAAACUGCUUUUGUACGGAACGAAAAGACUCCUUCUAAUAAAGGGGGUCCAUGACGGUACCGUAAGAAUAAGCACCGGCUAACUACGUGCCAGCAGCCGCGGUAAUACGUAGGGUGCGAGCGUUAAUCGGAAUUACUGGGCGUAAAGCGUGCGCAGGCGGUCUUGUAAGACAGUCGUGAAAGCCCCGGGCUUCACCUGGGAACUGCGAUUGUGACUGCAAGGCUAGAGUGUGUCAGAGGGGGGUGAAAUUCCACGUGUAGCAGUGAAAUGCGUAGAUAUGCGGGGGAACACCGAUGGCGAAGGCAAUCCCCUGGGCCUGCACUGACGCUCAUGCACGAAAGCGUGGGGAGCAAACA
rnacentral:rRNA from 1 species